UACGGGGGGGGCAAGCGUUGUUCGGAAUUACUGGGCGUAAAGGGCUCGUAGGUGGCCAACUAAGUCAGACGUGAAAUCCCUCGGCUUAACCGGGGAACUGCGUCUGAUACUGGAUGGCUUGAGUUUGGGAGAGGGACGCGGAAUUCCUGGUGUAGCGGUGAAAUGCGUAGAUAUCAGGAGGAACACCUGCGGUGUAGACGGCUUUCUGGACCAUUGCUGACGCUGAGACACGAAAGCGUGGGGAGCGAACCGG
rnacentral:rRNA from 1 species